CUACGGGUGGCUGCAGUGGGGAAUAUUGCACAAUGGGCGCAAGCCUGAUGCAGCCAUGCCGCGUGUGUGAAGAAGGCCUUCGGGUUGUAAAGCACUUUCAGCGGGGAGGAAGGCGGUGAGGUUAAUAACCUCAUCGAUUGACGUUACCCGCAGAAGAAGAACCGGCUAACUCCGUGCCAGCAGCCGCGGUAAUACGGAGGGUGCAAGCGUUAAUCGGAAUUACUGGGCGUAAAGCGCACGCAGGCGGUCUGUCAAGUCGGAUGUGAAAUCCCCGGGCUCAACCUGGGAACUGCAUUCGAAACUGGCAGGCUAGAGUCUUGUAGAGGGGGGUAGAAUUCCAGGUGUAGCGGUGAAAUGCGUAGAGAUCUGGAGGAAUACCGGUGGCGAAGGCGGCCCCCUGGACAAAGACUGACGCUCAGGUGCGAAAGCGUGGAGAGCAAACAGGAUUAGAUACCCGGGUAGUC
rnacentral:rRNA from 1 species